ACCGCUGUUUUUGGCCCAAGCGGAAUUUGCCUAAGAAAAAAAGUAAGUGCUUGAUUGAAAUGUGUACACACACAUCAGAGAAGCUCUUUCUCCACUAUAGAUGAUAACUACCUCAAUGGCAUUUCAUUCAAAUUAAGUGUAUGCCCACUAAAAGAAAACCUGAAUUAUUUCAAGGUUCCAAAAGAGGAUAUAAUAAAAGAGGAUAUAUUUCAAGGUUCCAAAGGAGGAUAUAAUAUUUAGAAAUUUAAUUUGCUGGGGUGUAGUGAGACUACAAUGAAUUUUCAGAUAUAAUCCACCAAAGUAGGGGGGCUGAGAAAAUACAAACCUUCCAUACAACUCCUGGAAAAAAAAUUACGGUAUCUGAACAUAGAGGAACACAAAUUGAAAAACACAUGAGGAGCAGA